rnacentral:rRNA from 1 species
AUUGAACGCUGGCGGCAGGCCUAACACAUGCAAGUCGAGCGGCAGCGCGGGGUAACCUGGCGGCGAGCGGCGAACGGGUGAGUAAUACAUGGGAAUCUGCCUAGUAGUGGGGGAUAACUUCGGGAAACUGGAGGUAAUACCGCAUACGCCCUACGGGGGAAAGGGGGGGAUCUUCGGACCUCUCGCUAUUAGAGGAGCCCAUGUCCGAUUAGCUAGUUGGUGAGGUAAAGGCUCACCAAGGCGACGAUCGGUAACUGGUCUGAGAGGAUGGUCAGUCACACUGGAACUGAGACACGGUCCAGACUCCUACGGGAGGCAGCAGUGGGGAAUAUUGGACAAUGGGGGAAACCCUGAUCCAGCCAUGCCGCGUGAGUGAAGAAGGCCUGG